rnacentral:misc_RNA from 1 species
GAUGAAGAACGUAGCGAAAUGCGAUACGUAAUGUGAAUUGCAGAAUUCAGUGAAUCAUCGAAUCUUUGAACGCAUAUUGCGCUCUUUGGUAUUCCGAAGAGCAUGCUUGUUUGAGUAUCGGUAAACACCUCAAAGCUUUUGGAUUUUUUAAUCGAAAAGCUUUGGACUUGAGCAAUCCCAACACCAAUCUUUUUGAGAUCGGUGGCGGGUUGCUUGAAAUGCAGGUGCAGCUGGACAUUCUCCUGAGCUAAAAGCAUAUUCAUUUAGUCCCGUCAAACGGAUUAUUACUUUUGCUGCAGCUAACAUAAAGGGAGUUUGACCGUAUUGGCUGACUGAUGCAGGAUUUCACAAGGGUCGGCAACGAUUCUUGUUAAACUCGAUCUCAAAUCAAGUAAGACUACCCGCUGAACUUAAGCAUAUCAAUAAGCGGAGGA